ensembl:lncRNA
GUGCAAGAUGCUAGCAGGCAAGGCAUACAUGGAACGCCAUAACCAAGUGGCCGGCAUAGUGUACAGGAACAUCUGUGCCGAGUAUAACCUAGAAGUCCCGAGGUCAAAAUGGGAGAUGCCCCCAAGGGUGGUGGAGAAUGACCGAGCUAAGAUCCUGUGGGACUUCCAGAUACAGACGGACAAAAUGGUGGUGGCUAACCAACCGGACAUAGUGGUGGUAGACAAACAGAAGAAGACGGCCGUAGUGAUCGAUGUAGCGGUUCCGAAUGACAGCAAUAUCAGGAAGAAGGAACACGAGAAGCUGGAGAAAUACCAAGGGCUCAGAGAAGAGCUCGAGAGGAUGUGGAGGGUGAAGGUAACGGUGGUCCCCGUGGUAAUCGGAGCACUAGGUGCGGUGACUCCCAAGCUAGGCGAGUGGCUCCAGCAGAUCCCGGGAAUAACAUCGGAGAUCUCUGUCCAGAAGAGCGCAGUCCUGGGAACAGCUAAGAUACUGCGCAGGACCCUCAAGCUCCCAGGCCUCUGGUAGAGGACCCGAGCUUGAAGGAUAAACCGCCCGCAGGGGCGUGCUGGGUGUUUUUUUUUUUUUUUAUAUAUAUAUAUAUAUACACAGGGUGGGCCAUUUAUAUGGAUAAACCGUAAUAAAAUGGGAAUGGUUGGUGAUAUUAAAGUCCUGUUUGUGGCACAUUAGUACAUGUGAGGGGGCAAACUCCUCAAGAUGGGUGGUGACCAUGGUGGCCAUUUAGAAGUCAGCCUUCUUGGAUACAACUUUUGUUUUUUCAAUAGGAAGAGGGCCAUGCGACACAUCAAACUUAUUGGUAAUGUCACAAGAAAAACAAUGGUGUGCUUGGUUUCAACGUAACUUUAUUAUUUUAUUAUUUACAAGUUUCUCUUUGUUCACAGCCAUUGACAUGUCGAAGAGGUGAACACGUGAGGAGCGGAUCGAAAUUGUGUUGAUAUCUGGUGAACGCAGUAACCAGGUCAUUGCAACAGAUUUCAAUGCAAGACACCCUACGAGACCACCCAUCUCCCAUGCUACAGUUAGCAAACUGCUUGCUAAGUUUCGUGAAACUGGUUCAGUGUUGGAUUUGCCAAAAUGUGGACGCAAGAAAACUGUCACUAAUGAAGAAACAUCAG